rnacentral:rRNA from 1 species
UAAUGAUACGCUCGUCUCAAAGAUUAAGCCAUGCAUGUCUAAGUAUACAAAGUCUACUUUGAAACUGCGAACGGCUCAUUAGCCAGUUAUAGUUUAUUUGAUGUAAUAAUAAAGAUAUGUGUAUGAGGUGUUUGUGUUGUUGAUAUAUUGAUAAUACAAUAUACAAUGCACUGAAUAUUGAAUAUAUAUAUAAUAAUAAAAGAGUCUACAGGGAUAACCGUAGUAAUUCUAGAGCUAAUACCAGGAGAUAAAAGUAAUGUAAUGUUGAUUGUAGGAA